CUUCUCUCCCUCUUCAUUAGCACACCUACUUGAGUGUGGAGGCUGAAAAGGUUAAAAUGUAAAUGUAAACCUGUGCCUUCUUAAAUCACACAAAUCCUUAAGUUUGGGUGAAAAACAAAGGGGAUUUCUUUUCUUAUCUGCAUCAUAUCUGUUUGCAGUCAUAUUUGAUUGUCUGGGCUUGUUACUAUUCAGCACUUUGGGAAAUGUUCAGCUCUUUUAUAUAUGGCCGGGACACUGGGGUCACAGCAGUCAUCAGUACAAGGGGCUUUCAGCUGUGUGUGGCCAUACCCCUGUGACCUGACAGGAACAGUAAAUAACUGUUUGAUGGUGUAGUUUCUGUGGCAGAGUACUUUGCUAGCACAUUCUGUCUCCCUCUUCCCAACUAGUUUGCUUUUGAAAAUUAGCAAACAAGACAAAACAGGGUGAACCACUAGCCUGGAGCUCUCAUGAUCCAGGCUGAUGGCUCUCCAGCCUGGGAAUUUCAAGUGUAUCCCAGCACCCAGAUACUUUUAGGUAGGGUCUGGGACUUGAACUCAGGUCCUUAAGCUGAAAAGACCAAGCCAUCAUUUUAAUCCCCAUGGGUUCUGUUUGGAUGCAGACAUGGUCAUUCCUCAUCCCAGAGAACUGCUCAGCUCUGUAGACAUAAUAAACCAAUGGUUGGGUUAUGACCCAAACUUCUACACUAAGUGGUCUCACCUGAAAUAGUGUUUGGUUUUUGGCUUUGUUGGGUGAAAUCUUUGCUUCUCAGCCUUUAUGUGCGGCAUAUAUAACAAUGACUUAUUUUCAGUGCCAUAAAUAGGGAUGCUAAAUAACGAUUAUCAAAACAUUUUAAAAAAUGUACCUCUGCAUUUGCCUAAUCAGAAAAAUAUGUUCUGCUUUCUAAAGUAUGUUCUUGAGAGAAAUAAAGCUGUAAUAUUAUUACCGUACCCAUGAAGGACAUUUGAUACUUCUCAAGGGUGUUCAACUAUACUGUUAACAGUUUAAAUCUGAAAUGCUUUACUAAUGUCUCAUAUGGUAGAGGCUUGGUCUGCAGAUAGUGGUGCAGGUCGGGUGUCUGGAACUUGGGUAGGUAAGAUGUAGCUGAAAAAAGUACAGAAUGUCCUUGAGAUCUAUAUCUUGUGCCCUGUUUCUUGGCCCUAGAGAAAAUAGAUCUAUUGUGCCCCCAUGUUUCACCUCCUGCCUUACCAUGUGCCAGAAUGAGAAGGACUAAAAAUUAUUGACAGAAAUACCUGAAACCAUGAUGUAAACUAAAUCCUUCUCUUCUUGAUCUGUUUAUGACAGGUACCUUGUCACUCUUUUCUCUGUGUGAACUUCAGAGCAUCCUUACACAUAAGGCACUGAAAACAUUUUAGAACUGAAUAGAUUCAAUCUGAGGAAUGUUCAGCGAGUGCCAGCUGGCAUGUGGUACAGGCUUUGUCCAAACCAUUGGGUUGACCUUCCAAGUUCUUCUUCAAUAAUGCAUAAGAAUUGCCAGGACACCAUUUAAAGAUUCAAUAUUCUUGAAAAUAAAUCUACCUCACAUUCUCCCUUCUUUGGGUAACACUUAUGUAGGUAAGGACUUCAAAGUUGUCUCCUUGGUUCAGUGUUAUGCCUCUGAGUCAGAUUUGGUACUGUUUGGGCAACAUCCUUGCUCAAAUAUACAAAUGGUGUGUUAUUUCCUCCUGGUAGAGAUCUACAGGCAGGGAAAGUGGCAGAGAGUGACUUUUUGUAAACACUGGAAACAGACCUAUGGAUGAGACAAAUGACUGGGAGUGGCUAUGGCUGUGAAAAUCCUCCUUGAGGUUUUCGUGAGAUUGUCUCUGCUCCACACUGCAUUGCACAUGUGCUGGAAAUGCCCUAUCAGCAAGAUGCCCUUCUUGGAAUGCCCUUAGCGCUUGUUCUCAGCAACACUUUUCAGUGCUUCUCUUGCUCGUCGCUUCAAGUCAAACUACUACCGUCACUGCUCCCUGUGCUGUGAUUAGAUAGACCUGGUUGCAUCUGUGGGGUUUUAGAAAAAAAAAAUGUGCUGUUCCAAUGCAACCCAAAAAUCAAUUACCUAAUUGAUUGCAGAUUGCGAUUGCCUCAAGAAGCUGAUCAUGAUAAAAUGAAGGAGACUGGCUUUUUUCAAUACGAUGUCUAAAAAAAAAUUAUCUGAAAGAGAUAAUGCUUAAAUUAAGACCAAAAGGACAGAACGAUACAGUUAAAAGAACAUUCCACACUACAAACACUACAAACCAACCAGCACUAAAACUGAGGGCAGGAAAGGCUCUUUGUCUAAUUCCUUCUAGUCAGUAGGGAUAGGACACAGCAAAGGAAGGGGGAGAAAGACAAGCUCUAUGGAAACAGGUCGGGCCCACAUUGCACCUUGAAUUGCUCUAAUGUGACUGGCUGCCAGAGCAUUGAGAGCAAGCAGAGAAAGCAAUGGGAGAACAUUUCAGAAAGAAAAGAAACAAAUAAUAAUAUCUGAAAAGACACAGACAAGACAAGGUUGGAGGUUACUGGGACAAUUCAAGGGUUGUUGAAGGAGUGUCAGAAGUUAUGUGGCUCAAUGGUUGAGUGCUUGCCUGAGGAAGAUGAGGUGAUGCUCUGGUUUCAAUCUUUGUAUUACACACACAGAUUCUCUCUCUCUCUCACUGACAAACACACACACACACACACACACACACACACACACACACACAUGAACACACACAUUUUUCAAAUUUCUCUUUUAUGUUCCACAUGUUGGUGAAACUUUCAGUUAUAUGUUGAAUCUUUAAAAAUGUGUACAUCUCAGACGGGAUGUCUGGAGAUAGAUACUAAUUUAAGAUAACAUAUAGAACAAGGAGCCUGGUACAAUGAAGACAUGAAGGCAAGUGGAUAAUACAUGAGGUGAGGUAGAGAGAGAGAUGCCCUGUGGUAGAAAUGGAAACUAGGAAGAGGUUCAUUGGUAGGAAUCAUCUCGUGAUUGUGGCUCUGUCCCAGGAUGCUUUCUUCCUUGACUACUAUGGUCCUUUCUCACAGUCUCCUCCACUGUAUACGCAGCAACCUAGAGCAUCAGUCAGGAUGGCAUCCCCAGAUGCAAAUGCACAGGUCUUCCUUCUGGCUUUGGCCAAUGGCUGAGUUUAGAGAAAUGGUAAAGAUGUUUUAUUGUGUGCCUAUGGUAAUGAGACAGAAUGAUGCCAGAAGAGUUCCUGAGUUGGGCUCAGAUUUAGGUCUGGGAUAAGAAAUUAAGGAAAACUAUAAUCUGUCCCAUCUUGACUUGGAACUAUGUGUUAGGGUUUAGAAGUUGAUGUCUCACACUGUUUACUACCCCUUUUAAAUUAAUGCUCUAGUCAUCAUGUAAACUGACAGGCUUCACUAUAAUAUCUUUGUACAUAUAUAUCAUUAUACUUUGCUCUGAGUAGUCCGAUUUUUUAAAUGAGGGACAAAGAACUUGGAACUAAGCAGCUGAAUCUUAGGUUGAAGUCACACACACCCCAGUUUGAAAUUACUCAAAUGUGGGCACAUUAUUCCAUAUUUUAGAUUCUAAUUUCUCCAUGAGAAAAUCAUCCCUAUGUAAUAGCCAACUGUUGUCUUGGUCCCAUGCCUUAAAAGGCAGAAGAGGCAAGUGAUGAAGGACACUCCACUUUUGCUAACAGGAGUAUAUUGGGAGAAAACAUAGGUGUGGUGAUUUGAAGAGGAACCCCCAUAGACACAUGUGUUUGAAUGCUUGUACCAUUGGGAGUGGCCCUAUUAGGAGGUGUGGCUUUGUUGGAGUGGGUGUGGCCUUGCUGCAGGAAGUAUGUCAUUGUGGAGGUGGGUUUUGAGAUCUCUUAUACUCAAGCUAUACAAGUAUGCCACACAGUCUCCUUCUGUUGCCUUCAGACAUAAAUGUAGCUGUUUCAGCUCCUUCUCCAGCAUCAUGUCUGUCUGAAUGCUGCCAUGUUUUUUCCCAUGACUUUAAUGGACUAAACCUCUGAAACUGUAAGUCAGUCACAAUUAAAUGUUUUCCUUCAUAAGAAUUGCCAUGGUCAUGUUGUCUCUUUGCAGAAAUAAAAUCCCAACUAACAUAACAGAGUAACAUGCACUUGUCUAGAAAAGCACCACAAAUCAAAUGUGUAAUAUACUAAGGAUUGGUGCCUAUUUCCAGUCAGCUUUUAAAUUUUAGAUGUAUCUUCUUACUAUUUGGUCCAGAUUUGUUUACUCUCUGGAGCUUGGUUGGUGGGUCCAUGGGUAGCCAGGAGAGAAGGUGAUUAUCAGAACUUAGGUGGAGGAUAGGAUAUUAAAUGCAGGCUCUGGGGCCAAGAAAACUGUAGAAGGAGCUGCUCCAGUGGUAAAAUCCAAGUGCUGCCAGAGGGAUGAGAGGAAGCUACAGGCAAAAUGGUUGGCUAUGCGUCUGAGAGGCUGGACAGAGACUACAGCAGGAUGACUUAGAAAAGUCUGCAAAGCUUUUGAUAUAUUCCUUUCUUGGUUUGGAAUAUGGGUGUCUAGGACAGAGUGGGUCUAUUAUUCAAGAGGUGCCCUUUGUACAAGAAGACAAGGACAAAGGACCUGAUUCCAAAUUCUACUGGUCACUAUGUAGAUCUCUAUCCUGCCUCUCGACGUAUUAUUCCCUCAGAGAGGAAAACACAUGUCCAUGACUGAGCUGUGCUCCUUAAUCCCAUCUGCUAGAAGUUUCAUCAGUUCCAAUGAAGAAUACUUAAACUCCCAAAUGAAGAAAAGGUCUGAACAAUCGUUUGGGGCUGCCUGUUGCCCGUUUCAAGGAUGAGGGCAGCAUCGAUGCUGUGCUUUGGAGCUCCUGGCUGUGUCAGCCUACGUGAGCUGUCACAGCUGAGCUGCGGUUUGGCUUUCAGUACAGACUACGUAAACUGAGGACUCACUGUGGGUGCAGUGGUAAAUCUGGGGAGGACUGUUGUUGCUUGUUUUAUUUUUCUGCCUAUGGUGACUUUUUUUAAAAAAGUGAAAGCAUUGUUUUUUUUUUUAAUUUUUGAGAUUAUGAUAUACUUACAACAUUUCGUCCGCCCUCGCCCCCGGCCCCAAGCCUACCAGAUACUCAAACUCUACUUCAAAUCCCAGGCCUCUUUUUUCACACAUUGUUAUUAUACACAUUUAUGUAUAUCAUUAUACAUAUAUAUUCCCAAAUGUAACCUGUUUCAUCUGCAAAAAUGUCACUUAAAUGUGUGCUUCACGGAUGACCAUUUGGCACAGGAAAAACUUGAGAAUUUGAGAUAAAAGGAUGUCUUAAGGGUUUUCGGGGUGUUUGAAGUCAUGAAUAUAUGUUUAUAAAAGUACAAACAGAAAUACAAUGACUUAUUCAGAAAUAAAACAGUUUGUGCUAUCUAGAGAUUUAUCCUUUUAUCAUGUGAUGUGAUUUUUUAGGAUCUUGAUGCUUUUAUCAUUAUUUUUAUCAAGUGUUGAAAUGACAAUAUUAUGUUUUCAGUGGUGCACAAACAUCUGAGAGCUUUGCUUCUUUUCUCAGUUUGCUUGCCUAAAACCUGGAUGAAUUCCUGUGGUCAGAAUGUAGUGUAAUUAAAUGUAUUAAAUCGUCUGUCUGAUAUUUUCUUUUGGGCAUUAUUUUAUCCCUUUAUAACAUCAUAAGCAUUAUUAAAAUUUACCACAAUUCAUAGUUAUUUUUUUUACUAAUCAUUGAUUACCUUAAUAGAUUUUUAAAAUUUCAAAUCAUUAAUUUUAUGCCAAAUGUUCCUUUUAUGAAGUAUCUUAAACUCACCCAGAAAUUGGAAGUAUGAGAUAUUUUAAAUCAUUGCGAAUUCUGUCAUUCAUCUUGGGACCAGUAACUCAGAAACUCUGUUUUUAGUUAAUUUUAAUUAAAAACAUUUCUACUCAGAAUACUGCUUAAUGCCAGAUAAUUGCUAACAUUGAACAUAGUUAUUUUUGCUAAGGGCAAAGAGCUAAAACCAUAAAUUGUGAUGGCAGACACAUGGUUCACUGACAAAACUAUAUAAAAUAUUGUUUAUGUCACUUCUGAUUCAUUCAUUUCUACUGUAACUCCUGGGGGAACCUUGUGCAAGUUACAGUUUCUAAAACAUCCCUUAUCACAUUGGGUUCUGGCAACUCAGCACUUGCUUACUGACCAGAUUAUUGCUCUGAAACAAGGAACAGAAAGAAACAGAGUUAUGUGUCAGCUGCACUUUGGAUAGUCGGUGUCAGUACAGUUUCGGGGGACCUAAAUAUUUAAUAGCCAUGAGACCAUCUGGCUCGAAUUGGAUAGCUCACAAUUUUACAACUGCAAUAUUGCAGGGUAGGUAUGAAAAGUACACAGAACUCAUCUUUAUAAAUACGCGCCCACUUUAUGUGCUUGACAACCUUGUAGAUUCAUGAUCUACAGAAGCUGUUCAUAUGAGAUGGAAUCAAUAGAGAAUCUUUCGCUGCUGAGCAGGUUAUCAGAGAUGACAGCAUUUCCGGUGUCCCUGAUUUCAAAAUAUAUAUUAUGCACAAUGUUUCUAAGGCUGCAGGUUUUUGUCGUGUCUCAGUAGCCCUUUAUUUUAGAAAAUAAUAGUCAUCUCAGGAACACAUUAAAAUGUGAAGACAUUUUUAAGUAAACAUUUUAUAAAUAAAUGGAUUUCACUACCGAGCUUCUUUUCCACUUAAUUCCAGACCAUUUCUUGAAGUGACCAGGGAGACAGGAAUACAUUGACUCUGCAUUCUCUUCUAUUAACUUUCUUAUCCCUCAGGUAGACAAUGAACAAGGAGAUAGGAGGAAACUGUAAAGUAGAUAAGCUAUUUUCAUUCAAAUGAUGCUUUCAUUGAAAAUUGCACAAAGGGUCUAGUUUAUUUUAGUUGGUUUGAAUCUUUUUCCCUCUAAAUAUUUGUUAUACCGUUUGAAGAAUAAAGCACUUUGGUCAUAGUUCCUCUAUUCCCCUCUCUUAUACUCUUUAACAGUAUAAAAGAAAGAAAAAUAUUCUCAUUUACAUACAUUUUAAAUGUAUCAAAAUAGUGGUACAUUAAUUAUCUUUAGGAGAGAUUUUUAAGUCUGGUUGACUGCGCGCAUUUUGAUAGUUAUAAUUUACAUAUUUAUUUCUAGGAACUCUUGAUCCAAAUAGAUUUUAAGGAAGCAGCUUUAAAUAUGAUAGGUUCCAAACCUAUCUGGUUAACAACAUCAAAAUAUUUUAAGCCGAGGAUAACAUAGAGCUAACCAGACCCAGCACCUUUGCCCACAAUGCUAUGAAAACAACAUUCAGUGACCUACAAUGGUGAGUGCCCCAUAGUACAAACACCCUGCUACUUACCUCCAGGUUAGGUAAAUAAAAAAGCAUGUUCCUGCUUUCAAAGAACAUGGUGCACAAAGAAGACACUAGAUUAAUAAAGGAAUCCAUGAAAUAUAAGGGAAAUAUGGGUGGUACAGUUCUCUAAGUGGCACUGCACAAAUCACAUGAUAGAGAAAAUAAAAAAAAAGGUCACAUCUAAUUUGAAAUAACUGUUUUGUGAAUGAAUAUAAGACCCACGAAUAAGAGCACAUGGUUAUAUAAAAGUAUAUUGGUUGUUACGUAUUUUUAUAUAAGUACAAUAUAAAAAGUCAAGUGCAGAAACUGUACACUCCUUUACCACAGCCCUAGUUAGAACGGACAAAACCGUAUUUUUGCUUACUUAGUUUUCAUUUGUACUAACUAGAUCUUUAUAAAGGGUAAAGCUAUAUUUUUCUCUAUCCCAUAAAGUAUAAAAGGAAGAAUCACCAUCAAUUAUUUUUACAAAGCCAGUGUUGCAUUUGCCUCAAAGCUACAUAAAGAUAAAUCAAACUGUUUUAGACUAAUGUCCUUAUUAAACAUAGAUAUAAAAAUUCACAUAAAAUAUCUGCAAACUGGUCACAAGAACACACCAGAAAGACCAUUUACUAUGAACAAAUUCACUCUGUUGCAGAUAUGCUGGGCUACCUCCAUAUAUGCAAAUCAGCAAAUAUUAUUAUGGUCAAAAUAUAUCAAUGGAGUACAAGUCAGAAAUUACAUGGUCAUUUCAGUAGAUGGAUAAAAGCCACCCUUGAGAAAAUACGAUGUCAUUUUAUAAUAAAAAUCACAAAGGGACUGGGGAUAGGAGAAAAAUACUUAAACAUAAUAAACAUUACGUAUUACAAAUAUAUACCCAACAUUGUGCUAAAUGCAAGAAAACUAAAGGCAUUUCUGCUAAGACCAAGAACAAGACGAGGAUGUUCAUUCUCUUCAUUUCUAGUCACUGUAAUGCUUAAAGUAAGACAGAAGAAGAAAUAUAUAAUUGAUGCUAUAGGAGAGGAAGAGAGCAUCCUUAUUUACAACUGGUAGGACUCAGUCUGUAAGUGACCCUGAAUACUCUACCAGAGCACUUGGUUAAAUUUUAAUUUUACCUUAACCAAAGUGGCAGUUUACAAUAUGAACAAACACAACAAAUCAAUAGCCUGUCUAUAAAAACACACUGAGGAAGAAAACAGAGAAGCAAUCCCAGACCCAAUAGUCCCCGAAACAAACAGACAAAGCCAUGUGGAAUAAACCUCAGCAAGGAAGCAAAAGUUCUCUACAAAAGAAAUGUGGAAUAAUAAACAAGUAAACUAUAGAAAGCACUAGGAAAUUAGAAAGCUCCCGUGGUUUUUGUUUGGAAUAACUCAUGUCCUGAAUAUGGCUAUACUAGAGACUGAAUGCAAUUCCUAUUAAAAUUCCAGUGUCAUUCUUUGAAGAGACAGAACAUUGAACUUUCGAAUUUGAUGGAAUUUUAAUUGAAUGGAACCAGAAAGAACAAGGAUAGAAAAAAAAACAUCCCUAAACAAAGUGAAUAUGACUAUGACGGGUUUGAUAUCAAAUUAUACUACAGAGCUAUAAUAACAGAACGGCAUGGCGAUGGCAUAAACAGAUACUGGCUCAAUACAGUACAGACGCAAGAUGCAGAUCUAGUCACACGAGGUUGCAGUUAUCUGUUUUAUUUAUAAAAAUGUCAGCAGUACACAGCAGAAGAGUAUCUUCAAAGAAUGGAGUCAGACAAACUGGAUAUUCAUAGGUAGAAGAAAGAAUUACUAGACACUAUCUCUCCCCAGGAGCUGUAACUCAAGCUGAACUGUGAACGUGGUUAACAUUGUAUCCUAUGUCAUCUUUUUUUCCCCCUUCUCCUGUUUAUUUUCGUUUGUUUUAUUUAUAGUCUAAAACGAUCAGAUUCAAGUUGGUUAAUUUUAGCUAUGUAACAACCUGACAAGAUGGAGGAAGACGGCCUCUAAAGGGAUUGUGCCUAUGGUUUGAUUCACUUAGAAAUUUUAUUUUCUUACAACUUAAGUGUAAUAAAAUGUGUUUUUUUCAUGUAAAAAAGAGAACAUUUUGACAAUCGAAUGUUUGAGGAACAUUGUGGGGGUGACGUUGGCUUUCAGCAAUGAAAAAUGUAUCUCACUUGAUGGGCUGUUUUAAUUUUAUUUUUGCUUAGUAUAGAUUAGACUUUCCUCUUUACAGUGAUGGUAUUUCAAAGUAUUGUCACUUGGUUGCGCUUAUAUUGUGCUUUUCAUUAAACAAAUAUAAUGCAUGCACAUGGUCUAAUAAAGGAUGAAAAUGAUUUAGAUUCGAAUGUUUUUAUUACAGAAGUUCUUUUACAACUAUAAAUAUUCAUUAUUAAUGCAUUACACUAUCUUAUUCAAUCUUGUCCAAAUCCCAAACACCUGGAAUUAUCUGGCAUUGUUAUGCUGUCACGAAUUGAGAUGUGGCUUUGAUAUAACUGUCUUUUUUUUCUCUCCUGAGAACCCUAAAUGGUUCUCAAGACUUGCCUCCUUGGAAGUUGAGCAUUACCAUGAAAUGAUCCCAGAUGUCAGAUCAGAUCAGAGAAUCCUGGGUUCAAAUCCAGGCUCUACUACUCACCAUGUUUGUGAUCUCAAGCAGUGCUUUCCUGGUUUUUCCUCUGCAGAACAAUGAACCUUAUAUACCUCAUUUAUGAGGAUAUUAUCAGAUAAUACAGAUAAAAUGAGCACAAAAAUCAAUAACUGGAAACUUAAAUGUUAUCUACCUGGAUACGUGUAAAAAAAAGUCUCAAAUUAUCCUUUUGAUCCUAUUUCAAAAUCCCCAUCAAUUUCCCUUACAUAGUAACAGUAGGUGACAUGUUGGUUUAGAUAGCCGAUAAGAAAUCCAAUGGUGUGGAAAUUUUCUUGUACAAAACCACCACAUGUAGUACCUCCCCACUGACAUAUGCGAUGUUUCCUAACUACCCAUUACUAAAUCGUGGAUUUCUACCAUUUAUGAAAUAUAUCACUUGUAGAAAUAUGGAGAUACACCUAAUUUAAGUGUGACACUCCUAUUUCCUGGAAGUCAUUAGAAUAUUAUGGGUAACAAAUCAAAUCUCUCCAGCUUACAAUGCCUGUCAACGGGGCCACAUGACGAGCAGCUGGGCUCUGAACUCCACUGUCUUAGCAAUUGGUGCCCUUUUAUUGAAGUAUUCCAGCUGACUUAAAGCCAGCUUAGAAGACCCCCAAGAGUUCUUUGUCAUGAUAAAACACAGGCAGUAUGGUUAAAAUGUCAAGACAUAACGAUUGCUUGCAUAUAUCCACUUAUAAAUGCAAACACACACACACACACACACACACACACAAACACACACACACACAUCACAUCACAAUUUGGCAAUAGAAGACAAUGCCAGAUAAGACUCUGACAUCAUAUCCAAGCCUUUCUUGUGACCUCUAUUUGGGUCAUAUGACUGAUUUCUGCAGAAUUUAGAAGUAAUUGUAUGAACAAAACGACCCUCUCUUAAACUUAAGCUACAGCAUCGAUCAUUAGUGUAUUUCACAUGCUGUGAAAACUAUAUUUGGCAUCAUCAACAGCUGCUCGCAUGGAUUGUUCGGCACUAAAAUAUGAUUGGUGAACACUCAGGAUUUUAUUUCGUGGUAUUACUCGCAAUUAUGGGGAUGUUGACAGAUUGGUCUCCAUCGCACUUAGCCUCAAAGAAAUAAACAGGUCUGUAAUAUUCACAUUCCCUCUCUACGAUUUUUUUCUUGAUUUUUUUCAAUCGUUUUAUUGUAUCAAGGAAAAUAAUUUUCUCUUUUAGUUGAUUUUGCCCUGAAUGCAAAUUGGUAUCAUUUGCACGAACCUAAGUUAUUCUAAUAGUCAUGUUUUAGGAUAUUGCUACUAAAUCGUUGUCCCUGGAAGUUCACUGAUGUCGUGAGAGAGUGCUAUGAUAGCUUUUUGACUCUGGCAAAAUAAGGAUAAGAGUUUAUCACCAAAAUUACCACCUGUGGGGCUUUGUCGUGGUGGCUAUGGUUUUCAGUGAGCAGAGGCAAUGGAGUUAGCUGUGAUGGCUUCAGGAAAGCAUAAAGGACCCUGGUAAGACAUGAGCAGGGUAGAGUAAUAUAGGUAGGGUAAGAUGUGAGCAGGGUAGAGUAAUAUAGGUAGGGUAAGACGUGAGCAGGGUAUGAGUCAAAUAUGUUACCAAGGGAUGAAUGAACAGGAAGAAAAGAGGGAACAUACAACCCUGUUCCUCAGGCUCAGGGACUAUUGCAGAAGGGAGGCAUACUGAUUUUAAGAGCCAGAGGGUCAGAGAUUUUGUGCGAGAUUUUCUUAGAAACGUCAGAAGCUACACCCACUUAUUCUCAUCAACAUGGCUGCCCAAAUGUGCUAAUUUUUUUAAAUGUGUACACCUACUUAAAUAAGUGUUUGUGUAUAAGGUUUUAGACUACAUGGAUGAGAAAUUCUUUGUAAUGUUGGGGUAAAACGUUUAUUAUAUGUACAUAAAGUUCAAUACUAAUUCCUUUUCUCUUUCCUUUUCCUUUUUCCUUAAAAGAGCUUGCUUACUACAAUUUCUUCCUUUAAACAUUGAAAAGAAUUCUCAGAGAGUUCAUCUUAGCGUGAGUUUCCAUUCUGAAAGUAGCUUUAAUUCCUAGUCUUGACCAUGAAAAGAUUUAGAACUUUUCCGAUUUUACAUCCAACUCCUGUUUGUUUUAAGUUGCAGUCUUUUGAGAAAUUGUUUGGCUGCUCCUCCAAGUUUAUUUAUUUAGAACUCCAUUUCUUAUCUACUUGAUAUGUUCAGGACAUCUGCUAAUGCUGCUUUUGUGUUCCCACCUGAUAGUCAGAAUGUGAGUCAUAAUAUCUUUUUCAUAAUCUGACUUGCUUACUUGUAGCAGUGUUUGAAAUUGUGUGAUUCUUUUCAAGAACACUAGACACUAGGGGUUUUGCUUGGUAGAAUCAGAUGUCCUGUUGGGAAGUUGUUUCCCCUGCUGUAUGGUGACAUUGUUUAAAUCACUCUUAUAUAUGUAUAUAUUUUUGGAAACUUCUAUAGUAGUACAUUUCCAUAUGGCUUGUAAAAGGGCCAUUAGUGUUUGUUGCCCCUCUCCAUAUUUCUUCUUUUACCCUACCCUCUGACCCUUCUCAUUUUAUUUUCCCCUUUAUUUCCUUACAAUAUUUUACUAUAUUUCUCCUUUUACAGAAGAUCCCCUUUUUCUCCUGGGGCCUAAAUAGCUACGUAACCUCUGGUUAUUUAGAUGGAGGCGCACUGAUACAAAAGGAAACAUUCAUGUAUUGCUAUUUCAGUUAUAGUCUAUAAUGUUUUAAGCUAUGCAAUUAGAUCAUUGAUUUUUUUGGUCAACUUUCUGAUUUUCAAACACAUACAUUGAAGGCUAUAAGUAUCUCUAAUCAGAAAUUUAGUUAUUUUUACGGUUUUUUUUUUUCGGAGCUGGGGACGGAACCCAGGGCCUUUACGGGUUUUUAUAUAGUUAAUUUUCAUUCUCAUCUUUUCCUAAAUUAAAAUUAUUUUAACAGGUUUUGCUUAGUAUCUAGAUACAUUUCUGCUUUUGAGUUCUAGCUUAGUUCCACAACCAUCAGAGCACAUAUAUGUUAGAACUGUGGUGAUUUAAGAAUGAGAGUUGUUUUAUUAGUUAUGUGGUCUAAUUUGAUAAACAUUUAAUAAGUAUUUUAAGUAUCAUAUAUUUCACAUAUUUUAAAUGCAGUACCUUAUGAAUGCUAAGUAAAAAAGCUUAUCAAAUAGGCUAAAUAUUUUGCAUCCUUACUGAUUUUAUUUUGUCCUUAAUGUGCUGGCAAUUGGGAAAGUUACAUUAAAAUAGCUAUCACUGAUUACAAAGUUGUCUUCUUAAAAAAACUGAUAUGUUGAAGAUAUAUAAGCAUCGAACACAUGUCUUUCUGAUGACAUGACCUUCUUGUCAUUUUAAACUGCCCUUGUUUCUAUUGACUAAUGUGUUACAGCCCAGUUUAUUACUACCAGAGUAAUAAUUAACUUUUAAAACUGUAUUAGUUGCUCCAUUCUAAAUCUGAUAUACAUUUUGUAUGCAAGCUAUUUAUUUUACUAGCUUUGGGUAGAGUUUCUUGAUUUUUAGUAUACAUUUUUUUGUCUAACAUGAAAAUACAUGCUCUGUAUGAAUGUAAGCAUUUCUUGUAUCUCAAUCUCAUUCUCUCUCUUGCUCUCUUACUCUCUCUGUCUUUCUUACUCUCUCUCCCUUUCUCUCCCUUUGGGAAAUCAAAUCAUAUGUGUGUCCUUUUCUUGUUUCUUUUUAUUUCUUCUGAGCAUAUUUAUAUAUGUAUUUUUGUAUAUAUGCAUUUGUAAGCAUAUGUAUAUAUGUAUUCUUGUAACUUACCUUCUUCUUCACUGUCUUUAUUUUGUGUUGGUUUUGCUCUAUGCUAAGUUUUAAGUUCAAUUGUUUUACUUUAAGUACCAAAAUGCUCAUUCUCUUAAUCAUUCCUGAAUUAAAAUUAUCUGGUUAAAAUCUAGUUAUCUCCUUUAUUACACAAAUUAAUGAGAUAUUUAUUUUAAAACCUGUACCAGUUGAUAAACUAUCCAUCAAGUCCAUUUCUAUCAUUUCUGGGUUUUGGUCAUUUAAUUGUCUGCUUUUGUAUGCCUGGAAGUUUUGAAUUUGGCAUUGUUUAUGAAAGUUUGACAGGAUCAUGUCCUGCCUGAUGUCUUGCCCGAGAGAGAAUUGCCUUUUUUUCUUGGAGAAAAAUGAAGUAGGGAUAGAUCGGCUUCGUCCAACAAGGAAUGGGCGUGGUCUACUUACAUGUCAAUCAUCAUGAGAGGUUUCUAUUUGCAUUUUUCCCUAGAUAUCUAGGUUUCAGCUUACAAGUCUCAGAUGAAAUGAUGGUCCCUUUCUCUUUAGGGAUACCUCUGGUGGUUGAAAUGAGAAAUGUUCCCCAUAUGUUAGGAUAUUUAAACACACGGUCCCCACUUGUUGACCGUUGUUUGAAGAGGUUUAGGAUGUGUGGACUUGUUGGAGGAAACAUGUCCUCGGGAAUGAGCUCAGAGAGUUUAAAGCUUUGCUCUACAUCCAGUCUGUUCUUUCUGCUUCACGCUUGAGGAAAAGGCUGUGAGCUCUCAGAGUCCUGAGCUCCGUGCUGAGUCUUCUGUGUCCCCUCGUGCUCUCACGCUUCCCUCCCUCAGCCCUUCUCAGUCAGGAGCUCAGGUAAAGCCUUCUCUUUAUUAGUUGUGUUGGCUGUGGUGUUUUUUCACAGCAACAGAAAAGUAACUAUCAAGUACCCAAAGUCUAGUUUUUGUUCUCUAGGCCCCGCAGCAUGGAUGGCAGCUGUGAGCACCGUUUUCUUUUCAAGCUUUCUGCUAUGAACUGCUUAUGAAUAGGUAACAGCCUCCAGUGAAAUGUGUCUUCUCCCUGGAUCUCAGUGUGCUCCGUCAAAUUGCUCCUGCCUAAAUCAUCCUCCAGUGCGUUCAGACAACAUUUCCUUGCUACAUUUAUAGUUGUUGUUCUUGUAUUAAUAUACCAUAAGCUACUUUGUGAUAGCUGGAGGCAGAAAUCCUGCCACUAAAGGAUAUUAAACAUAGCGAUGAUAUGAUCUGAUUUGCAUUUUAGAAAGAUUUCCCUGAACAUCAAUUUUCUCAUCUGCACAAUGAAAGAUUGAAGUAGAAACCGUUCUCUAAGGCCCAUUCAUCUCCAAUAUUCUGAAACUCAUGGGAGCAGUGACAGUAUGUCACACUACCAUUUUAAAGUGGAAAAACCCACUGGCUUCUGAGUAUUAAUCACUUAAAGCUGCAAAACACUAGAACUAGAGGAAAAUGACCAAGAAGACUAUUCUUGUCUCUGGUGUCUUCUUUAUGUUAAUUCCGGACUUCUAGGAACAUUAUCUCUUUCCCAAUCUGGUUAUUCGGGAGCUGGGCUUAUAUUACCCAUAUUCCAAACAGUCUCUCCUUUGGGGGCUGUAUUCCAGUUUCAUAUCUUCAUCUAUAAUGAAGAUAUUAUGGAAUUAGAUUCCACCCUCUUCACUUGCUUUUUACUUCCCUACAUGUUCAAAAUUCUAAGUUAACGAAGGUCAUCAUUUUAUUAAGCAAGUUAUAUCUACGUGAUAACAUUUCUACCUAAAGGUGUGUAUGUAUGUGUUUGUGUGUGUAUGAUAAUAAUUAAAGACAAGUUCAUGAUUUUGGAAGGGGGAGGAGACGCAGAAGGAGUUAGAGUCAGGAAGGGUUAAGAGGGACCGAGAUGCAGUGUUCAUGAAUGAAGAGCUAAAAAUAAAAAUCAAGCAGAAAAUAUACCAUGGAAGUAGUUAAUGGAAUUUGGUUGUAUAUAAGGAAAAAUGCAUUUAGGGUUUAAUAAAGAGAGAUAUCUAUGUAGGAAUCCAUUCGCAGCAAUUGUUAAAGAAUCAAUUACUAAUGUAAAUACUUAAGUUUGGUCCUGAGCUUGAGAUAAGCAGAGGUAGAUUGUAGGCAGCUGGGGUCCUCGGGAGAUGACACAGUAAUAAGCCACACAGCAGAAAUCUAUCUAUUGUAUUCUUUAGUUAAGACAGAGCUAAGAUUUGUCUUCAUCUCAGGGGUUGUCUUUUCAAUUGAGAAGUUUUUAUUCAUUCUAAUGUAAUAGCAUAUUAUAUUAGAAAGCCAAGAAAAUGAUACAUGGUUUCAUCUGUAAGUGGCUAGGAAAUUUAUAAAUUCAUUUUGUUUUUCUUGUGUUUUCUAUAUGGCUAGAUCUUAUUCACAGAUCUUUUAAAAAAUACUCUUUAAAAAUGUUUAUAUAAUGUACAUACAUUUUGUCCUAUUGUUAUCAGAACAAGCGUCAUUUUCAUACUGUGUGUAUAUUGCAUGAAAUAUACUACUCUACAGAUUAUAUUUAUAUACUCCAUUUUCCAUGGCACUUGUUCUUUGAGGCAUUUAUUUAACUGUUGCCUUAUCAUUAGAUUUAUUUUGAAUUAUAAAUAAUAUUCUGAGCAGAAAAUAUUUUCAACGAAAAUUGCUAUAAAUUGCUGAAAGAAGACAUUUAACUUCCUGUUACCUCAUCACUGCCUUCGAUAAGGUACUUCAUUUUUUCUUUGAUACAUUUCGUCCUUUUCUUUCUUAUUUCUAAAGUCUAGUAGACAUGCAUCGCAUUAAACAUUCAUCAUCCCUUCACCAUUCACCCUUGUUGAGCUUACUAUUUAUUGGCUUGACAAGUCUUGUAAAAUAGUCGUCUCCUAAGAUGUACAACUCCUUUGACCCGGCUAUAAAUAACCAUUGUUUACAUCAUCCCUGCAAAGCAUCCCUCCAGGAUCAGUUCUUCUCAUGUUCUGGAGUCAAGAUGGGUUCAGUGUUCGGUAGUGAAGGACGAAUUGCUGUCCAGGUCAGUAAGAUGGAUCUGUACACUCAGAAAUUGAUUAGUGAGUUCAAAUGGAGUUUUCUGGCCAGGAGAUGCCUGUGAUCAAGACUCUUUUGAACACAACUAGUGUUGUGAGGUUUCUAGUGUAUAUCACAAAAAAGGAGUGUCAUUACCACCCCAAAAGUGGCUACAGUUAUGUUGUGAAUGGAUGGGAAAACAAGCAAAGAUUAUAACUUUUUCAUUUGUUGAGUGAAAGUUUAAAAGAUCAUUUAAGGUGGAUUUAAGGUGGCAUUAGAAAAACUCCUCUGAAUUUAAUACCUAUGUACCUUAAAGGGGCCCAGCAAAUGUGGGAAAUAUUGCCUUGCCAGAAACUAGGAGAUAAUUUGACAUUAACUAGAAUUCCAGGCGCAGUGUGUUCAUUUGUCACAACAACCCCCAUGCUUCUAAAUGUCCAUGGCUUUUUCCUUUUCCCACCUCCAUUAACUACUUUUGGUAAUUGUAUUGCUCUCUCUUUCUUGACAGCAUUACCAUCAAAUUGGAAAGAGCCUUAGCGUCUGGACAUAGUAGAUGUUAGUUAAACAGUUAGUAUCAUGCUGACAUUUGAAAACAGAACAACUUAGAAGUUGGUAAUCUGUUUUGGAGCCAACAUUCCUUGUGAACUCUUACAAUUACUUCAACUUUCCUGAAAUGUAUGUUUUCUUAAGAGGGAAGUUAGGAUACAGGGCUUUUCCUGGGAUGUCUUUCUGGCUAAUUUUAUAGAAUUUCAACAUGGAGCAAGAGUAAUUUGUGUCAAUUGUGCUUUCCCAAAUGCUCUUCUGUUUGGAUGCUCUAUCUGAAUAUUAGAUUGCUUCUCCAGAUGUUACAGGCUCAUGUUUCCUUCUGCUACAUUUGAUUGUUGAUCCCUCCCUAUGUUCCUCGGGAUUUCUAUUAUCUCUCUGACUUCGGCAAAGUUUUUUUAUAAAUGUUCGGUGUUUCAGAGUUUGGAUUCAGUUCAGAAAGAUGAUAUUUCCAAAGGACUUUUGUUCAUUCAGUUCUUCCCUUGAGAAUGUUGAAAACAGUUAUCUUUUUCUCCUGCUUUUGUAGGGUGAGGGUGCCAUUGUUGUUUUUUUCUCUCUCUCUUAAUAUAUUGGGGAUAUUGACCUCUUCCCUAAACCUUAGGUCAAAGGAGAAGUGGUGGUUGUUUUUGAUUGGAUGAUUGUGUCCAUAUGUUUUGCUUCUGGAGGGAUCUUGUUAAAGGAAGAGUGACUAUCCGAUACUCCUAAGGUCAUUUUAGAAAAUGGCUUUAUAAAACAUGAUAACAUAGGAUUUGAUGGCAGAUAGAUCAUGCUUUGUGCUUUAGUUCAACACUUAACUCUCUGUGUGACUUCAGGCAAACUGUUUAAUGUACCAGGGCAUCAGUGUGUUAAUUUUUUGAAAGUGUUGUGAUUAGUAUUAUCAGUAUAGCAAAGAAAUGCCUUGCUACCUAUGAAAACCACGUAACUAAUAAGUUCCCCAAGGUGUUUAGCCUGGUUUCUGAGACAUACAUUUCAUAAAUAAUAUCUGAAAAAGUAAAGGCUUAAAAAAACAGAAUGUAAUAUUGCAGCUUCCUUUAGAAAAUAUAACUUCUUUUCUGUUUAAGGUUUAUUGCUGCUUUAUUUAAAACAUUUUAUAUUUUGAAAUUAAAUUAUGAAUAUACCAAUAACCCCUUCCCCUUUCCUCUCUCCACCACGUUCCUGUAAAAUCUCUUGCUCUCUCUCAAAUUUACACACACACAGGCACAUAUGCACACAAAUACAUAUAUUCCUAAAUAUAUAAAUAUAACCGGCUCCUUCUGUGUAAUGGCACUUGUAUGUAUAUGAGUAUGUAAUAGUGGGAUGCAUAUUGCGGUGGUAACCAAUUAGCUGUCUAAUUGGACUUAAGGCUGACUCAACAACAGAGAGAUCAGAUCGUGGCCAACUACCUGGGGCUAGUGAGGCCAUGGACUUUGGAGGAGAAUCUACUAUAACCACCUUAUUAAACCAGAGCAAUUCCUAACUGCAUUUUCAUUUUUCAGAGUUUUAAAUGAUUCACUAUAGAAAGUCACAGUUGGAGGUAAGGUGGGCUCUGCCCUCUAUCUUAGAUUCCAGGGGCUGCUCAAAGACUUGAAUGUGAAGGUGACCUGACUUCUACCAUUUGCUCAAUUGCUCUUAUAGGUAUUUUGUUCCUGAUUUUGAGUUUCGUUUCCUGUGUUUUUGUAUUGGAGAGGGAGAAGAGAAUGAAGCUGGGUGGGUCUGCAGGUGGGGACAAUAUGGCAGGUAUUUGGGGAGGGAGGAAAAUAGAUAAAACACAUUGUAUACAUUUUGUAAGGAAAAGAAAAAUCUUAGGUUCUCACCAUGAUUAAUUAAUUGCACUCCAUGAGUCUGGACAUUAGUUAUCCCAUGUAACAGAGCACCACCGAAAAGAAGGUCCUGAAAUCCAGGAGACAACUCACCAGAGCUACCAUUUCUGUUAUCACUAGGAGAGCAUCGGCAGUCAGUUCAUUAGAAUAGUCAGUCACAGCAACACACCUGCAGCUCGGUGUGCCCUGGAGCUGAGCAGAAACUUGGCAUUGAAAGUGUGUGCCUCUAUUUCCCCCACCGUUCUUGCACACCUUAAGGAAAUAUUCAGGCUGUCCUUUUUUGUGUUUAUCGAAGCUUAAUUUUACAAUGCAUGCAGCCAAUCAGGUUCCUGGGCUUCAGGUCAAUUAUAACUUGUGACUAGAGCUGGACUAUUUUUAUCACGAAUAGUUUCGACCUCAGAUCCUCUUAGUAUUCCUCUUAAAGCAUGUAUUACAUGAGAAAAACACACAUGCAGAAAUUUCAGCCAGAGCCUAUGCAUUUAUAGCAUUAGUUACCUGAAAAUGCUGUCAAAAUAAAAAGCAAGACUUUUGAGUGAUAAAAGUGGUCAAGCCAAGGAGUUGGUUGAAUCACCCUGUUUUCCUUCCAGAUCAUCUUGCCUAGGGAUUCCUGUCUUGGUGCGUUUCUCUGAAAAGAUGCUUUAAGAAAAUAUUUCGGAGUGACAUUUAUUAGUUUUGAACUCUUUCUGAUCCUAACUUGAAAAGGGCAUUUUCUAUGGGAUGUUGUGUUUUACUCCCCUAAAAGUCCCAUUUUUUUUCACAUUAAAGAGUACAUUCAGAUAAAACAAACUCUGUGGAUUUACAUGGGCAGGAUCACACUGGACUUUCAUUGCAGAGCCACUGCAUUUAUCUGAGAAUGCGAAGGCUGAAUUCUCUUUGCUUUGAAGUAGCCUGGGGUAGGGUGUGUUUGUGUAACUCCGAAGCAUUUGUUUCAGUACGUGAUGAUAUUCCAAGACCGGAAAGUUCCAGAAACAACGACUUUAAUGCAAAAUAGAGCCUCACAUGUAAAUUUGCUGCUUGAAUUUUGCAUCUCUUUUUAAUUCACAGAAAUCAUUGUGCUGUUUGGAAAAUGACUUAUAUUUUGCACGAAAUGUUAUGCCAUUAGAAAAUUCUAUUAGCUAGCAAGUAUUAGCUGAAGGAGUAUUAGUAUAAGGAGAUUUGUUUUCUAAGACAGCUCAAGGGUUUGACUUCUUGUUUGUAUCAAUCUUUGUAUGUUAGAAAGUAGUAGUUAACGUUUACAAAGAUUUUAUAAUAAUCUUCUAUAUUAAUUUGUUAAAUCACAACAGUAGCCCACUGAUAUCUUACAAACAAUCAAAUUUAAAAAAAAAAAACAUAUUCUCUUAGAAAUAGUUACCAGAAGAGUCGUUACUUAGCAAAGGCCAGAGAGAGUGGAAGGAAAGGGAAGCUGAGGAGAGAUUAGUCGGUGGAUAAAAUUAGGAAGAAUAAAUUCAUAUGUUCUCUUAUGCAGUACAAUGGCCAGGUUUUAGCUCCUUUUAAGUGAUUAUUGGAUUUUAAAAGGUUUCCCUCCUAUACUAGGGUGCUGUAUGCAUGCCUGAGGUGAUGGGCAUUCUAACUCCCCUGACUUAAUCAUUGUAUGGUAUGUUCAUGUAGCAGAGUGGCAGACUUCCUAUAUAUAGUUAUGUGACAAUUUCCAUAACUAUCCCGCCUAAGAUAAUAGAACAUAUACAGAUAGAGAUGGUGCCCACUGUCUCAGAUCACAAAGACAGAAUAUGCAAUAACUGAUUCAAUGCACAGCCAUGCCAUUUCAGUAUUUUUAAAAGUACCUUAGUAAUAUUUUUUAUUCCUUGAAGUAAUGUGUCUUGAUUAUAACCACUCUUUACUCCUCCCUCAAGCUCCCUCCAGGACUCUCCUAAUCACAUACCACUCUAACUUUAUAUCCUUUUAAAAUUUUAACCCAAUAAGUCCAGUUAGUGAUACCACCAUGUGUGUGUCUUUAGGGUCAUCCACUGGGGAUAGCUUACCAAGUGUCACCCUUCAAGGGUAAAUGACUGCCUCCUGUCCUUACCCCAUAGCUAUUAAUUACCAUGAAUUUCUGAACUCAAGGUAGGGCUUCUGUAGUCCUUCCCUCAUCUAUGUUGGUCUGUUUAACUGGUUGGGUUUUGUGAACGGCUUGUGUGAUUCCCAAAGGUACUGUAUGAUCAUGUGUGCUAAAGUCAUGUCAUUUCCAGAAGACAGGAUUUUAUAGCAAUCUUCCCAUCUUGAGCUCUUACACCCUUUCUAUCGCCUUUUAAUUAGAAAGACACUUUUCUGCAGAUAAACAUUCACUGUCGCUUAUUCUCAGCACUUUGAGUAAUAAUGAGCCUUUGCACUAGACACUGUCUUACUGACGAGGGUUGAGAGCAGCUCAAAUCUAUGAAUAUAGAUAUAUAUAUUUUUUUUUUCAAGGAAGGUUAACACCAUAAUCGUUUAGAAAAACAAUAUCUUCCUCUUAGACUAUAUGACCUUCCUAUUCAUGGGUUUUGACCAUAUUUACAUUAUGAGGCAUGAAUUUUCUUUUAUUGAACAGAUGUCAAAUCCAAUCAAAAGAGUAGUUGGUUACCCCCAUAUGUAUUUUUGGCCACUAUUUCAUCAUGUUUGCCUGUUAGGUCAGUAUUGUAGCACGUAAGAUCAGUAGUAGGUAAGACCUUUGGUCCUUUUCCUGCUCCAAUAGCUUGCAUUGUACCUCCAAGCAAUAACAUGUGACUCAACCAUCUCUGGCCAUGUACACAAGGGCUUUUUAAAAAUACAUUUUUGAAAUUAUAAUGUAAUUAUAUCAUUUUCCCAUUUCCUGCUUCCCCCUAACCUUUCCAUGUGUCUCCAACUUGUUUUUUCAAAUUCAUGGCCUCUUCUUUAAUUUAAUUUAUAAAAUUAAAGAAUGCUAUUAUAAUUAAAAAAUGUGAAUAUUAGGAAGAUAUAUUAUAUCCCUAAAUAUAUAAGUAUAACCUGUAUACUUAUAAGUAUACAGUCUAUAUAAGUAUAGUCUGUAUAAUGAUACUCAUAUAUAUGUUUUUAAUUUUGACCAAUUACUAUUGGAUAAUCAAAUGCUGUUAUUUUCCCUAAGAAAGAAUAUUUCUUCAAUCUCUCAAAAUUCCUUAUGGGCUAAAGCUCAUGAGACACCCCCCCCAAAAGAGGUUAAUAUCUUACCACAGAGAUAUUUACAUAUCUAUAGUCAUUUACAUUUUAUUCAGAAUGGCUGAAAAAUAAAACCACACCUAGAUGUCCAUUAACCAAAAUUGGAUAAUAAAAAUGUGAACUAUUAUUAUGCUGUAAGGAAAAAUGAACCUUUAAAAUUUGUAGAUUAAAGAAUGGAACUGGAAAAAUUAUAUUGAAUGAGGUUAUUUAUUUGUAAAAACACAAACAUCAUGUAGUCUCUUUCAUAUGUAAGUACUAGCUUCAAAUAUUUUUGCUUGCGUUUUAAGCGUUUCCAUGCUGCACAUGGAAAGUGUGCAGAUGCCAGGAAACUGGAAAUGAGCCAUUGGGAGAGGUGCAUUAAAGGAAUGUGGUUAAUAUAGUAUAGUUGAAAUGAAAAUAAAGGGGAAAAAUCUAGGGUCAGAUAGAUGUAAGUAGUGGAAGGAUUUACCAAAAUGAGGUGUGUGUGUAAAAACUGUAUGAAAAAAUAUAAUCUUACAAUUCAAAAAAAUACAAGAGGAGAUAACAGAAUACACCUGGUGUGAAAGAAUUGUGGCUUAUAGGGAAUAAGUGGGGUUGGGAACGACGGAAUGGGUGAAUGGGGACUUUAGAGUAUGUCCAUCCAAAACUCAGCACUAUGAAGAAGGCUUACAGAAAAUCCACUAGUGUGUAAAAUAAUUUUAAAAUGUGAUUUACAACAACAACAGCAACAACAACAGCAGCAACAAAUCCAAUGUAAGAAAAGAUAGGGUUGCUAUUUUUUGUUUUAACAAAGAUAUUUCACAUGAGUGGACAGUGAUUUUCCUGAGAGAUUUAAGUGAUUAGAUAAAAAUCUCGGUGCCGUGCAUGUGUUACCUCCCUACAAGAGUUAUUAAUCAUGAAGACCCAAAACAAUACAUGCUCUUGGGAUUGCUCUUGGCUGCCCACCAUUGCUAGAUAGCAAGACUCUAAUGUUGAAGACUCAGUUUGCUUUGCUUCAGGACAGAGAGAAAUCAAACCCUGAACCGACUGGGAAUCUCUCCCUGUUGGCCAGUUACAAUUACUUCGUUCUCAAAUACUACACGAGGGAUAAGUGUUUCUUUUCAUAAUUGGUAAACAUGAUAACAAAUAAACAUGAAUAAAUUUGAUGUAUAUCACAUAUAUACAGAGAGUCUAUCUUACAUAAGUUAUCAACAUAUGCCCAGAUUAAAAAAUAAUCUUAUUUCUUAAUAUUAUAAUUUGAUGCCAACAUUAAAGUGCUAGGACUUAAUGCACUUGUGACAGGAAGAAUGUAUGUACAAAUUUGAGUGCAUGUUAAGUCUGCUCACAGCUAGAAUACAUUUCAUGUAUAUUUUAUAAAAUCAAUGGUAUAUGAGGCCUACACCGAGUUAUAGUGGUUGUAACCUAUUCACAUAUGUGUACUGUUCUAAGUGUGUGUAUGUGUGUGUCACAUCCAAGAAGCUGAGAAUUAAUCAGAACCUUUAGAACUUUAACAAACCUUUCAAAAUAUAUUGAAUAAGUUACAAAGUUGAAAAUAGUUCCCAUUAUUCCCGUGUCUUAUAUAGUUUUGCUAUAAGGAAAAAAUUAUUACAGAUACUCAUAGAUUCUUUAUAUGUGUUUAUUUGUUGGCACAUCCACCUGACCACAUAUAAUUAAGCUUGCAUAUUUAUGGGUUCUGCAACCUGUGGAUUCAACCAACUCCCGGAAAAAUCUAUUAAGAAAAAGCUGUGUCAAUACUCAACAGGUACAGACAUUUUUGUCACUCUUUCAUGAUUAAUGUAGAACAGCAAUGAUUUACAUUUUACUAAAUUUUGUAUGUGGACCAAGCAUAAUUUGAGGACAGAUUAUAUGCAAAUAUCACAGCAUUUCGAAAAGGAGACUUGAGCGUCUGUGGAUUUUAGAAUGUAAACAAACUCUGAGAGAUGUCUCUUUAGGUACUGGUUUCCCCCCUCCAUUCUUCUGCCCUUACACCCCCCCACACACACACAGAGAAAGAGAGAGAGAGAGAGAGAGAGAGAGAGAGAGAGAGACCAAAUGAGAGAAACAGAGAUGGACACAAACAGACACCAAACAUAAACACAGAUGCACAUACAGAGACACAUACAGGCAUACACAUACAGUGACAUACAUACACAUAUACACAUCCACCCCCCCACACACACAGAAGACAGACAGACUGACACGCACACACAUAUACACACAGAUGUACACACAAAUACACACAGAGACACAUACACACAGAUGUACCCAGAGAGAGACACACUCACACACUUUUGAUUAGAGAUAUUUUAUCAUGGUAAACAGCUUUUCUACUUAGAAAAAAAUGAUUAUCUAAGGAAAAGAGUAAUCCCAGGUAUUUAAGUUUAUGGAUAUAGAUUGGCUAGUAGCUACUAUUUACUGAACCUUUCCUACAUUAUGAUCUGAACUUGCUCCAUCUGUCUAUUUAUCGACCCAGCCACCCAUAUGGUCUUUACUAUUUUAUCCUAAGACGUUAAAUUUCAUGGUGGAUAGAAGAGCCCUUUGUUAGUGGCAUUCACUGAUACACCAAAUCCUUCAAGUUGCUUAUGUAGGCACCCAGAAUGUGCUAGAUGAAUCAAAUAAGAUAUUUUCAUCUGGUAUGUUGUAUCAUAUCUAAUUUGGCAAAUAGAAAUCGAGACUCGGAAGAGGUGUAGCUUUAGUCUCACUUCACAAGUGGGCUAAUGGUGCAAGGAAGGAAAUAGUUGUCUUCAGGGUUACUUUGACUCCAAGUCUCUGAAAACACUCCUGGGAAUGAGAACGGAUCACUUGGGGCCCACCAGGCCACAAAGGUCCCUGGCCUUUUUCUGAUACAAAAGAUUAUACAAAGCCCUGGGAAAAUUCUCGUGUUCAAGGUGUUCAUUUUCUUGUGUUGGAAUAUCACGAACAGCUCCAUGGAGACCCUGCGAGUAUUGCUUUGUAGUUUUCUUUCAAACAUAUUUUGCCGAGCUAUGUGAGGGCUUCUGUUUGUUCCAUAAUUUGGAGGGAGAAUGUGGCCUAUCUGAAGUGCUAGCCAAUAGGAUGAUUGAGCUGUGAAAAAUGAUACAUGGGAAAAAUUUAAAAAAUGAGAAAUAAAGGUUGGAAAGCUACUUACUGGGCUCAGCGAAGAGAAGUGGAUACACCAAGAAAUGUUCUAGAAUCGUUGUUAUGUUUAGAAAGAGUUAAGGUAAAAUAUUUUUAUCCGUAGAUGAAAGUAAUCCCUAGAAAUUUUUAAGUGUAUUAUCUAUUUAUAUUUAAGGAUGAAAUUACAUGGUUGCGUACACACUUAUUUUAUUAAACUGAGAUGUUCUAAAAAUAUAGCCCAAUACAGAAAUCUCUUUAGUAGGUAAUGCCUAAAAGAUAACCUCAUUAUUUCACAAGAUUUUUACUUUGAAGUAUGUUUUUGAUUUCAAGGUUGAGAGACUUCUCAAUAUUGGUAUACAGCCAGUGGAUGCUUUUCCUUAGUAAACUGGGUGAUAACGUAAUGACUUUUUCAUGUGUCAGUAUGUAAACUUGCUCUACCCAUCAGCCAUCUGUCAUCUGUCUAUCUAUCUUCUAUCUAUCUAUCUAUCUAUCUAUCUAUCUAUCUAUCUAUCUAUCUAUCUAUCUAUGUUUUAUCCAUCUAUUAUCAACUUGUCUGUCUAUCUAACAUCUAUCUACCUAUCAUCUAUCUAUUUGACUGUCUAUGUAUCUUCAUAUCCAUUUGUCUAUCAUCUAUCUACAAUCUAUCAUCUCUAUAUCCAUCCACCCAUCUUUCUCUUUCUUCUUCCUUCUUUUCUGUUUUUUCUCACCUAUCAUCUAUUAUCUAUCCAUCAUCUAUCUAUCUAUCUAUCUAUCUAUCUAUCUAUCUAUCUAUCUAUCAUCUACCUACCUAUCUAUCUACCUACCUAUCUAUCUCUCAUCUAUUUAUCUAGCUAACUACCUAUCAAUCAUCUAUCCAUCCAUAUGUAUUUUUGCAUAUUACAAGAUGUUCAACAAUGUUGAAAUGGAUGGUUAGUUGGAGAAACCUAAUGGAACAGGAACACUUUGCACUUACCUUUGUAAGCACUGCAAUUUCUGCUAAUGUGAUUGUAUCUUCAUAGUUUUGUUAAAUUUACUUAGUUGAAUCCUAAAACAUGGCCAAAAUUGGUGCAACUUUCUAAUGCAUUUCUGAUUUGCGUACAUUCUAGCUCAGAAGUUGUAUAAAACACAACUCAUUCAUUUUAUUUUAGCAUCCUAAGGAAGAUCCUAGAUAAAUAGGGCUCUUAAUUAAAGACCUAAGUAAUGAUGCAAAUUAAGAUUAGAAUAUGGUUGGCACUUUGAGUAUUCAUGAUGUGCCUAGUGCUAUAUUAGUCCAAAAAUGCCUUUGGAAGCCUUCCCUUUCAGGUUAUUGACUAAAUUCGAAUAAGCACAGAAAGUUGAAGCAGUUCCCUGUCUGCAGCCAUUGGCGUGUGUAUAAAUGAUUCUAGGGCAGGAAUCUAAACCAUAGUGCAAGUUUUCAUAAGAAUCACAAGGUACAAAGUCCCUAUUCCCAAAUAAUUACAGCACUGAACCUUAACUAUUAUGUAUGUUUUUGCAGGCAACAUAUUUAAGAUAGUGAAAAAAUGUUUUAAUGGAAAGACAGUAGAAAACUUUUCUUUCAGUAGAUGUUACUGUAUUGCUUGAAAUCAUCUUUUUUUGUGAUAGCCUAGGAAGGCUUAUCAUUCAGGUCCAAGGCUGCUACAACUUCUCUCACACUUCCAACAUUUUUCAGGAGAUAUUUACCCCAAGAUUGGUGUUUUUGCUUGUCCCAGACUCUCCACUGAAUCCUGUGUAUGUAUAUUUUGCCAUAGAAGAGGAAGGGGUAGAGAAAUGAGCACAGACAAAUGUAUAUAUGUCUUUGGUUAUAUAUUUAGUGUUCGGUCAAAAUAAUGUCAAAAGAGAUAGUUACCUAGGGGGAAAAUUAAUUGCAAUGAUAAAAUGUUCAAAGGGAAAUUUUUUUCCAGUUGUUGUAACAGAUGUAAGUCAUUUUUGACAUCAGAGAUGACUAGUGAAUAUCCAAAAGAAAAUACUGUACAGCAAAUACUUUAAUCUAAAUUUAAAAGAAAUUAAGUGAAGAUGUUGUCUGUGGAAGCAAAGGAAAUUAACUUUUUCCUGCUGAAGAAGUGAACUGAAGGGCAAUGGGUUUCUUAAUAUGCAGAUAUUUUCCUGGCUGACUAUAAGAGGAAGAAAUAUACAGAUGGGUGAAGGCCUUAGUGAGAAGACAUUCAUAGGGCAGAUACAAGGGUUUCAUGGUGCCUGCUACACCAAAUCCAUCCUUUAUGCACCCUCUCCUGUCCUCAGUAUCCUCCCUAGAGAUACUGUUUAUCAACUUUCAGUGUAUGGUCUAUAACUCCCACUUGGGUGUUUUUUUAAAAUGGCCCCCAUUCUUCAGUUCUAGCUUGACCAUCUUUCUCCCUUUGUUAAUAUUCACAUCUUUCUUUUAAACUUACCUGGAAUCUACAUUUGAACAUUACAUAGUGACACUUACCUAUUUUGUUUUAUCUUUUAUAGAUGCUUAUUUAUAAUUUUGUUUUUCUAGACCAGUGGUCCUACACCUGGGGGGUUGUGACCCCUUCAUUGAGUCAGUCAAACAACCCUUUCCCCGGGGUCACCUAAGACCAUCAGGAAACACAGAUAUUUGCAUUCUGAUUUAUAACAGUAGCAAAAUUAUAGUUACAAAGUAAUAACAAAAAUAAUUUUAUGGUUGGGAGUCACCACAACAUGAAAGGGACCACAGCUUUAGAUUAAUCAGAAAUUCUAAGCAGAAAGAAGAAUUCUGAACACAGAAGCAACGGUGUAUAUAGAUCCCACCCAACACUUCAUCCACAAGUAUGAGAACUUUGUGAACUGAAAACUACUGUGGCAUUAGGAUAUUUUCUAUGUUAGGCAGUUUGAUGAUUUUAGUUUGCACUGCUCACUUAAUCAUCCCAAAGAUCAUAUGUAAUAUAGCGUGUUACUCUCUUCGUUUUGGAGAUUUAAGUAUUAAUGUACAGAGAAGUAGGUUUGCUGGGGUGCAGGGCUGAUAAGAUACAAUGUCAACAUCAAUGCUGGAACCAGUUCUUAAUUCCUAACAUUUAAGUUAGUGGCAGAGGUACAGCAAAAUCUCUCUUACACACGUUCCUGUUCCAUUUCAGUGUUUGUGUUGUUCUGACAACACUAUUCCAUGGUGCUUCUUAUAUCAGUAGAAGAAAAAGUAAAUAAAUACAAGUGCUCACAGACAAUUUUCAUAAAACAACCAUGAGACCAUAUCUGUGUAUGCUAUUCCUGCUCUCUAAAAGCAAACAAUGACGUUAGACUGAGAGACUGAUAUACUGAUAGAAGGUCUCAAUCAUUUACACACAAACUAAUGAACCAGCAAAGUCACUCAUAGCAGUUAUGAUAUAUUUAGGUCUUUUCUUUCUCUCGGGGUAGCCUGCUAUCUGGAGCGUGUAAGUGAGGGGUUUCAGAUCAAAAUUUAGUUGUAACCAAAUUAUCAAUUAGAUUUCCAUAUGCAUCAGCACAGAGCUAAUCAAGAAGCCCUGCAGUAAAGUACCUAGUCCUUUUCCAACAUGCUUCUUGUCUUGAAUUCUUUGGAACUAGCAUGCCCAGACAUGAUUUAGAUGUAUUCUUUAGCAGAGAGAGAAAGAGAUGGAUUAAGCGACAUCCCCCGAGGUCCUCUUUGCUUAGAGCAAAUAUUCUCUAUCAUUCUAAGCUUCUGACUCUAAGUAAUAUUUGAAUUCCAUCCUCUGGCGUCCCCAGAACAAUUCAUGAUACUGCCUCCUUGGUUGAAGUACUUGGAUUUAUUCCCUCCUAUCCAGGCUACAUUCUACUUUUAACUUAAUGUGUUCUUUUUCAUUUUGAUGGCUCGACUUCGACCGCCACAGCUUCCUUUCUUUAUUUCCAGAGUUUAUAGACUGUCACUGGGAUUUCCUCUGGGUCUUUUAGCCAAGUCAGCUAUUCUUUGCUUCUCUAAUCUUCUGUUAUAACAGGCUCCCUGUUACUCAUCUCUCUGGUCUCUCACUCUCAAUUUGUUCCAGGCUUUCUGGUGGAGAUUCCCCUGUACCAAAAGCAAUAUUCCAGGUGCGACCACUUGAGAAUUAAGAGUGGUAUUUACACUUUUUUUAAAAACUCUUAUGUCUUUUCUCUCUGUAGUUCAAAAUAAUAUGCCACUAGGGUUGUCAUUUUGCAGGACAAACCCACAUGGAUGGGACAGCAUCUAGGCCCAGUUCCCUUUCAACCGGUUUCUCUAAGAUGACUUCCCUAUGUUUUACCCCCUUCUCUCAUGGAUCUGCUUUUUCAUUUAUUUUCUCUUGUUGGGGGAAGCUGGCCUCUUCCCAAUCUGACUUGCGUUUUGCUAUUUGAUCCCAAGAUCCACAACUCCUCUCAGACCAUCUGUAUUAUUUCUGUGUCCUCACUGAUGUUUUCCAACAUGCCCUAGCUCCCUGUCAUCUGCUGAUUUCAUUAGCACACUGUUGACUGUGUUCUCGAGAUCGUUAAUAAGGAUGAAUAAACAGAAACGCGUGACUUACUCAAACAGACGUCUGUGCGCGUUCUCUUAAGUUCCUCAACAAACUGAUACCAUUUUCUCCUAUCUUUCUGUGUUCUUUGCCCUGUGUCUGGUCCUGUUCGUUCCAUGUACACCCUGUUCUCAUCUCCAAGUGACUUCAUUUGUGAUGUGUUGUUCUUCCGCAGCACUUUAUAAUCAUCCAGACAAUUCAUCAGGUUUGUCUGGCACCAUUUUCUCCUUAUUAAAUCCAAUUUUUUUGGCUGUUUCUAUCGUUCCCUAGAUUGUAGCAGCUCUUUGCAUCAGUGAAUAUGCCCAGCCUGAUUUCCUCCCAUUUAUUAUUACUGUAUUAACCUAGACUGUAGGUGAGAAAAGAAUACAGAGAAGGAAGAGACUAAGUCUAUCUGGCUGUUUUGAGACAUCAACAUACACAAUGUAUUGGAAUGCUUUAGUCUAUCAAUCCAGUUGUACUAAGAAAACACCUAGUGUGUGUGUGUGUGUGUUUACAGAGAGUAAUAGUUGGGAAAUGAAAACCCCUGUGGAAUAUAGUCAACACUAUCCAGUGGGUUGGAAUCAAAGACAGAGUAAAAAAGGAAAACCAGUUGAAUAGCACUGUUCCUUUUUCUCUAUCCUGACUCAUUGAGAUGUAAGCAAGCAACCUUAGGCUCUAGCCUGUCCAGCAGCCAGGCUUUCCUUGUCAUGGUAGCCUGCAGUCCCAAAUCAUUCAUCCUGCAAGUGGCCCUGUGUCAAGUACUUGGUCACAGCCAUAGAAAAGGUAACUAAGACUUUCAAAUAGAGGCACCUGCUCGUCUGUCUUUGUCCCAGGAUUUAACAGAUGUAUCUGUACAAAAAGGUGGAAAUCAGUGGUGUGGUUUUCGAAAGGUGAUACUUCUGUUUAACUUGCAUUGAAAAAUCAAAUGGCUGGAUUUUUGAAAUCUGGCAGGAGUCACAGCUGGACUUAGGGAAUAUCUGUGAUGCACUUGGCCCUGUGCGAACACAAAAUUAUCUUAGCUCAUCAACUCCAAAAGGCGGGCAUUUGGUGGGGGGGGGUGCACCACUAAUCUCAAAGGUGUCAUCAUGAAGAUUAGAAAACUUUGUACCCUCUCGAGGAUGUGGCUCAUGUCUGAAAGCAGAAACAUGUUUGGUUUAGGAGUUAUUGACCUCUCAACACAGACACAUGUACUUAUAGCUUGCCCCAUCCAAAUGUACAUAACAGACUUUCCCCCACUUAAACAAAAAGGAGAAUAAGACUUGAGUGUUCAAAUUGGGGGUGGAGGUGAAGCCAGUUUCCUCUGUCAUAUAGCUCUUCUGCAGUUAGACCAAACAGUGACCAAACACAGGUUUCUUCAAUUGUGCACUAACUUUGCACAAUGGUUUGACCUUUUCCCCUAGAACAGAGUUUCUCAACCUGUAGGUCAUGACCCCUUUGGGGGUCAAACAGUCUUUCACCGGAGCUGCCUAAGACCAUCAGAAAACAUAGAUAUCUACAUUAAAAUCCACAACAGUAGCAAAAUUGCAGUUACAAACUAGCAACAACAACAACAACAACACCAACAAAUAUCGUGGUUGUAGGUCACCGCAACGUGAAGAGCUGAGGUAAAGGUAACAUCAUUAGGGAGCUGGAAACUGGUGCUCUAAAACAAUACAAAUACUUUAGGUUGAAGCCUUUAUUAUUAACUUUACUCUUAACUGCACUGCCAAUUUUCCUUCUGUCUUCAUUUAUAUUGACUUCAUUAGCCACUCUCUGUUACAGAGGCCAACAAUGACUGGAAUGGAGGGUGUAGCCCUUGAGCUAGAAGAUACCUUUCCUAGCCUUUACAGUCCAACUGAACCCUGCACUCCUAACACCGUUUGUCUAUGUCCAUUCAACAUUUCACAAGCUACAUAGCAAAGACAUUAAUAUUGAUUAAUUCAGUGAGGAACCCCAAACUCUUUUUAAGACAUAUUUCAAGUCCUUUGAUUGGCUGACAUAUGAUAUUAAAUACUGAAUACUUAUGAGAACGUAGAGGUAUGGGCAACUGAAAUGUGUAGCAUACAUAUGUACACACAUGUUAUUUUGUAUAAUGUAUUUUUCUAUCAAGGGACUAUAGGCUCACUUGAGUAAGCAGCCCAUCCUUCCCUUUCCUUCCUUCUUUUCGUGUGAUUUUUACUUUCCUUAAAUGCUGACUUUAUUGAGUGUACCUUGCUCUUUAAUUUAGAGAUUUUCCUGUCGAACAAUGUAGUUUUCUUGCUCAACAAGUCUGACAUUUGAGUAAAUGGAAGGAAAAUGGAUGUGGGAGCUGUGUGUUCAUAAUGCCGCAUUGCCACCCUGAAAUCUAUGCCGAUAAUCUACUUGGAAGGCUUUAAGUCCCACUGGAACAGGGCACCAGAACCAUCCUGCGUUGAUUUAUAGCACCUGCUACAGCUGUUUGGCUCAUGGCAGGCAUUUUAUCUGCAGCCAAAUGCCACUGCUGUCGCUGGGCAAGCCUAGAUGGAGGUCAUAUUUACUGGGCAUGUUUAUAAUCUGUAGAAUGAUCUAAGCCAUGGCGGGCUAAUUUCCCAAAGAUCAAUCACUAAGGGAGGAUUUCAGAGGUUAUGUUCUUUAUCCAAUUUCCUGUGUACUAAUGAGAUGGCUGGCACCUGUUUGGAAUCUUUCUGAUUAGAACUCUUCUGAGACUCAAUAAAGAAUAUGACAUUCAUAAAUCUAAAUAAGAGGUGACUUGGCUGCCCGAAUGGUGAAUCAUGCCAUGAUGAGAUGUUUCCCUGCCCCGGCAGGGUAUGGGUAUCAAUGACCAAUCUGAGACAAGGUCAAAACCGAAUUGAAAUUCUUGACAGUACUUGGCCUCUCCUGCUGAAUUCAAAGGACUCCUUUUAGUGUUAAAAUUCAUUGUUUAGGGUUUUUCAAUAAAAGUCUAAGCAACAAGUAUUUGCUUAAGUAUUACAUGUUGCAUAUUAAGAAAGAAGACGUGAUAAAAUUGCUACAGUAGAGUGUAAUGAGGAUUAUAUCUCAGACCCGAUGAUGAGGGUGCAGUGUAAUGGUGCAAAUAUUCAUAGCUAAUGUUUAAUAUAUUUCUCCUAUGGCAAAAGCAUAUUACAUGUUGCACAUAUGUAAUUCUCUUCAAUGCCAACAGCAAACUCAACAGUUAAGUCCUACAAGUAAUACCCAUUUUAUAAAUGAAGAAACUGAGAUCCAGAUUGUGGAUAAAUCUUCCCUUAAAUAUAUAUCCCAUUCCAGAUGUCUCCAUGAUUAUUCUGCCCUCUCUUAGCUAAACCUUUUCAAGAUAACUGUCUACAUUACUGGAUCCUCUCAACUUCUAUUUUAAGACAAUCAGUCUGGCGUUCUCCAUUACUAUCUAAGUGCAAUCGCUAAAUGGGCAACACUCUUUCCAUAGCUCCAAUACCAGCACUUCCAAUGGGCCAGACUCUUCCUUAUUGAAAAGAAACCAUGUUGAUUCCCUAAAACACACUGCCCUGUGUUUCUUCUGAAACCUUUCCAUGUGUUGACACCUCUUCCUUUGCUUAACUUCUCAUAAGUAGAACAUUUUAGUUUUAGUGUAGACUUAUGUCUGGUCCGUAGGACUUGCACUUUCCUAGAAGUCGGAUACAGUCUAUGAACUCUAGUCAUCUCUACUCAAACUCUCUCCCAAAUUAUGUGAUUUGUCUUCCCAUGUCUUUUGGCAUCAGUAUGUUUGCUCAAAAAGACUGGAAGCCUCCUGUUACUCUUCACUUUCCUUAACCACCAUACUCUGCCUCCUAACUGGAUUUUUUUCAAGACAGGGUUUCUUUAUGUAGCCCGGGCUAUCCUGGAACUCACUUUGUAGACUAUGGUGGCAUCAAACUCAUAGAGCUACCUGUCUGUGCCUCCCAAGUACUGCAAUUAUAGGUGUGCAGCCCCCAGCCCAGUUUUGCACUAUUUUUUUAUUUUAUUAUUUAUUUUAUUUACUUAUAUUUCAAAUGUUAUCCCCCUACAUAGUUAAAACCCCUACUCCCCUUCCCCACCCCCCUGCUUCUAUGAGGGUGCUCCCCACUGACCCCUUCCUGCCUCAGUGCCCUAGCAUUCCGCUAUGCUGGGUCUUUACCAACAAUGUUUCUUCCUUACUAUCCCAUAUCUUUACAUCUUGCCCUGCCUUCAUUACCUCCCUGUCCCUCCCUGAUUUCUGUACAGUUAUGUACUGAUGAUCACUGAGUGGAUAGGAUCUUAGAAUGGAAAACAGACAGGAUGGCUCAUUCCACAUCGCCAUGGAAAAUUCGGGACAGAGACAAAGAGUGAUCGUGCAGCGCCAUCAUAGAAAAUGUAGAGUAAGAACCGAGAGCUCCAGGAACCUGCUGGUGUGACAGGGUUCCUUUCUGUCGUCUUUGAAAAACGUCCCUGUCACUUAGUAGUUUAACCUUUAGACUUCCUGUUCUAAAUGCAAACCCUACCCCUGGGGGAAUUUAACAUUGAGAAAAAGUACAAAAGCCUAAGUAAGAACUCUUUCCUAGACUUACUAACCAGCAGAGGCAGAUUUCCUCAGCCACUUCUCCCUGGGGACUGGGACAAGAAAUCGGCAAGAAUCAAAUACUUUAGCCAAGUGACAGUGCAAGAAUAAGAGCGUUCCUCAUGCUCUGCCUGGCAACUUCCUUCCUUUUAAUGAGCAAGACAGGAUGCUCAUCAACAUCUCUAAUAUUUGGGAUUAAGCCUUUAUCUUUCUUUCCUUCUUUUCCUCCAUCCUUUCUCCUCUCACCGACCUCCCUUCUCUUCCUCUCCCUCCUCCCUUCCUCUGCCUGCUUCUUCUGACUAACUGGGGCAAUACCUUUCCAUCCUGUGUAAGCUAAGGCCUAAGUCACAAUAUUUUCCUUACCUUGGAGCAUAUGGCUUCCACAUCACAGGGGACUCCAGAGAUAGCAAAAGCAGGCUGAUGUGUUUUGCCUGCCUUGUAAGUUUGAGUUCCCCUUAUCAGUCUUUCAUGUUUAUUCUUGUGAAGGGUCAGUAGAGCGUUUGAAUGAUGGCAAACAAAACAAAACAAAACAAAAACAGAAGGAAAACAAAUGUGAAGAAAGGAUAUUAUGAAAACUCUUUCAAAGUAACUUGUGUUGACCCACCUCUCUGAGUCAGAGAAGGAUUGUGUUGCGGAUAAUGAGACAAGCUGCAGGGAGUGACAGACAGUUCCUCUUCCUAUCAGCUUUAGGGUAAUAUUCUGCUCCUUUGUUAGGUUAGAGGGAUUUUGUGAGAAUGUAGUAUUUCCGGUCUUCCCCUGUUCAUUGAGAAAGUUGAAGACGUCCCUAUUAAAAACAAAAGGGCUAAAGCCUGAAGUGCAUUUGGGGCUGGCUUUUCCUGCCAGAGGUGCGUGUUUUCCUUGUACACUUCAUUCUCACUCUGAGGCCUCUUUAUCUUCCCUCCGAGGGCCCUCUUCACCUGAGUGAGCCUCCAUCAUCAGGGAAUCGUCUGAGGAGUGAUUCAGCAGUGUGUGGCACAGCAUUGUCAAAUGGAGACAGUGCCACUCCGGCGACUCUGUGAGCUGAAGCAGCCUCCAAAGUGGUUCUGGCAGAGAGCCAGCGGCCAUUCCCGUUCUAAAGAAAAAAAAAGACAGAGAGAUCGCAGCACUCCAUCCCAUCCCGGCUGAUUCAUACCACAGCAUUGACAUUGAGCCUCCAGAGAGCUGUUCUCUUCCCAGUCUGGCUAAAAAUAUCCAAAUUCAGAUUUAUAAUGACAGGAGCUGAUAAAUUUGCUGGGGAAAUGCAAGCAGUGUCGCUGUCGUGCUAGGAAACCUGUUCUGAUAAAUUGAUGCGGGGAAAGAGAUUGCCAAACACGGCAGAGACCCGCCGAGCUUCUUCCCCUGGGAUGAUGAGCAAAAUGAGCAUGUUUUCCUUGUCAUCAAAGUCUCCUUUCUUAUCCAGGGUAGGCAGGAGAGUACAGCAGAUUACAAAAGAGUAUAGGGAACAUCUUGAUCAAAAGGAGAGCAUGACAUAAAACCAAACCUUAUCUUCUAUCUAGCAGACAGAACAGGCAGGGUGGGUCUCCCACAAAAAGUACUACCAGAGUUUGGGACUAAAGAUGGUGACUUCAAAGGUACUUUUCUCCUUUUUUGAUACCUACUGCCUCUCCUUCCACCCCCUGGCUCUGUCAAACAAUUUGCCAACAAUUGCUACAUUUGCUCCAAUCAUUUUAGGUCAUUAACUUUGGAAAUUAAUGUUGGCAGCAUUUUCCAGCUUGGCCUUUUGCCAACGUCAAGCUGGUGCAGAACGUGUAGGUGGAUGAUGCAGGCUUGGAGGUUUUCCCUAUCCCACAUUCGCUAAGACCACAAAAUAUCAUGGUUGGGUUCAGUGCACGAAUGUUACCAACUCAAGCCUCAGCUUGAGAUUUUCGACACCAUCGUUUACCAGCCCUAACAGCAUUAAGUGUCAAUCCCAGAAGCAUCGUUCUCGUCCACAACUAAAAGAAAGGCUAGGGACCCAAAGUGUAUCAGGACUCCACAGAAAGACAAGCAGAGUAAACUAUCCUGGACCCCUAGGGUCUCUCAGAGACUGUACCACCAGCCACAGAGUGAGCAUGGGUUGGCCCUAGGUCCCCUGCACGUUUGUAGCAGAUGUGCAGUUUCCUCUUCAUGCAGGUCCCCCAACCACUGGAGGGGGAUCUGUCCCUGACUCUGUUGCUUACUUGUGAAUCUGAUUUCCCUAACUAAGCUGCCUUGCCUUGCCUCAGUGGGAGUGAAUGUGGCAAGUCCUGAAGUGACUUGUUUUGCCAGGGUGGGGUUCUCUCCAUUCUCAGAGGAGAGAAGAUGGGAUGAUGGGGUGAAUAGCUGUGUGAGGGGAGGGCUGGGAGGAAAGCAGGGCUGUGAUCAGGAUGUAAAGUGAAUAAAUAUAUUAAUUGAGAGAGAGAGAGAGAGAGAGAGAGAGAGAGAGAGAGAGGAGAGAGAGAGAGGGAGGGAGGCUAGAACUUACAUUUCAUGCAGCAUUUAUGUAAUGAAACUUCAGACUUGAAAGCUACUGAGGACUUCCAUUUCUGUAGUCCUUCCUUUUCACCUGCCAUUUCUGUGAUCAAGCAGCCAUCGUUAAGUUUGAGCCCUGCUUGAAUUAAUGGCAGGUGACCAAAAACAUCCACGGUAAGCAAAACUAGAGUUUUAGGAUUCCAUAGGGAAUCCGUGAUGCAAAUACUUGAUGCACCUGUACAAGAAAAAAAAUAGCAUGGAUGGAUUGAUGAGCAGAUGAUGGCCAGAGGCAUGCUUAGAUCCAUUUCAAUGCUACCAUCAAAAAGGGCAACGGUGAAAUCUAGGUACUAGAACAUGGGUAAUGAUUCUGAAAUUGCUUAAACCAGGAAAUGGUUGUGAGUUAAUCAUGUUAUUAAUGUUGGGAGAUGGGAGAUAAGCUACUACAUAUCAAAGAUAAGAUAGAGAUGGGUCGGUAAGAACUACAGCACACCAAAUUAUUUCUCUGGCUCAUUGAAGGAUAAAUGGAAGUAAAGAAGUAGCUAGGGCAGACCCACAUACCCUCUUUUUUCUCCACUGGCUUCUGACUCUCUCAAGGGAAUCUGUCCUCAUUCAAAGAAAAGGAGUAACUCCCCUCAACCAGCAAUACACCCAUAGAUUUUUUCUAUGCAUUUUUUUCUGUAUAUGUUUCAGAAAAUAGAGCGGUUUCUGCCUUCAGAACAAUUACAACACAUGGCGAACAUGUUAUUCAAACAUGGCACUCAAGUGUGGGGCUUCAGCAAGAACGCACUUUUGAAAGUUUCGCAUUAGUACGUGGAAAGGGUAUUCAUUAGGUGACGUGAUAAAAUCCCAGAAGGCCUGAACCUUUGGGCCUUUGAAGACACAGGUACUGGCUGCUGUGAUUUGCCAGGGGUUGCUUACCUUCCUUUUGCUCUGAUAAUUUUCCUCUGGAACAGCUGAGCAACAAUUCGCUAUUAUCUGGGGAAGAACAGACAUUAAUGUAUUAUUCACUGUGAUUUUAAUGUACACGGGGAUAUAAAGUCAUAUAAAACACUAUAUGACAUUGCUUGACUUGUUCCUUCUCUUACUCCUCCUUGCUGCCCAAACACAGUUUUAACCAUUGCAAUGGAGAAUAGUCCUACCAUGCAGUUGGACUGAUGCUCCAUUAAACCCUCCAUUCCAUAUGAACACAGUGAAGUGACUUGGGAGAAGAGACUGUCUCCCAUGGUACAUCUAUUUUAUGACAACAUGAGCAACAGGUAGGCUAAUAAAGUUUUACUGAACAGCGAGGUUAAAGGAAGGUGAUAUACCGUUGUAAUGUGGAUUUUAUAAUUUUCAAGGGUAGACUAGAUAUGCUUAAAAUGUUUUGUGCUGUUAGAAAAAUGCAUAAUUCUCAUUCAAAGAAAAGGAGUAGCUUCACUCAACCAGCAACAUAUACGUAUACAUAGAUUUUUUUCCAUGCAUUAUUUUUCUGUAUAUGUUUUAUAAAGUAGACUAGUUUCUGACUUCAUAGUGAUUAUGAGUAAAACAAAGGGCUUCCCAGGAAACCUUUGUGAGGUUUAAUAUUUUACAUUCUUCCUGCUUAACCUAUUCUGUGGGAGUGGCUGUCCCUUGCUACGUGUAUCACUGACCAUUGCAUAGCUUUCAUUCUUUCCACUACAUCUUAAUAUCUACAUUCUAUAGUAUUUCUACCUCCUAACUGCACACAGGGAUUACAAAGAUCCCUUUCUUUGUGAAAAUGGACAACUGUCCCAACAACUUGUUUGCACUUUAGCUGACGUGUGGGACGUGGCCUGAUUUCCUUGAUAAAUCGGAUGCCAAUUUACAACCAGGAACAGAAGUCUGAAGUGUUCUGAGACCUGGAGCUCGUGGUCUACACUGACUUUGAAUCAGUCCUUUGGCUGGACAGUUCCCAUCAAAGCAAAACUGGAAAUUUUUUUCCUUAUGUUAAGGCAUUAUUUUGCCUAUCAUAGAAGGGAAAUGAAAGAAAUAAGGAGUAUAAAGGGCUAGGGAGAGGGGUAGGAAGGCUGAGGGGUAGGUUGUAAAUGGGAUUUUGCUGGAGGAAAUGUUAAAUUAAUGGUUUCUAGAUGAUAUUAUACUCUAAGAAAAAUGUCACAAAAUGAGAGGCUAGGCAAAUUCUAACGAAACAUAUCAGCUAAAACUUGGUGGAAGAAAUGUAUUCACACUCAAGCCAUGUUAAGAUACACUGAAGACUGUUUCUAAUAUGUGGAUUGGGUCUUCAUUUGUCUCCGAUAAGCAGCUGCUAUAAGCAGAAGAGUCAAUUCAAAAAUCCCAAAAUCAUAGACAAGAAAAAAAAAUCCACAGCACUGUUUGUUACAGAGAAGAAUGGGAGAGAAAAAGUCAGAAUUGUGUUGUAGGUGGCAACAUAUUGAAUUCUGCUCUCUUAAGCCCAGUGUACAAAAAGUAUUGAUUAACAGGUUAGGUCUUGUGAGAGGAGGGGCCGGAGGCACCAUGCUUGAGUAAUCCAGGCUGCCCUUGCUUUGUCUGUCAGCACUCCUGCUAGCUCCAGGGAGCAAGUGAUUCUCUCCUUCCUUGCUGUUCCUUCUCAGCCUCAGCAAGUCAAGAUGCAGGCAGCUCUUAGUGAGGAUUAGCAAAUUUAAGAGCUCAGCCUUGGAAAUGACUGUAAUUUGAUUCUAUGCAAGAUCCAUCAUUUCUCUGACUGCGAAUGUCAAAUAAUUUCAUACAACCUGCAGAACUGCUGUGGUGAACUGUCACUAGCAUUUUUCCAAUCCCGGCAUUUUAGAAGAGAUUUGGUGUAAGGUUUGGGGGUGCCGUUCAGUGUUAAAGCAUGUGCUUAGCAUGUGCAAAACUCUGUUUCUAUCCUGAACAUAAAAAAAAAGAAUCAUUAUUGAUAAGCAUGGGGUAUAAAUGUGACUGUGUAGGCACUGGAUUACACACUGGAUUGAACCACAGAAGAGGAGGGAGGAGCUAACUUCUAAUAAGAGCCUUCUAUUGGCCAGACCCUGGCCCUGCAUUCUGUGUGUACUACCCUUCAUAAUUAGUCCAUGCAAUGUGCUGACAAGAUGUUGACUCCUGGACUGAGAAGAUGAAUCAGCACUUAAGAACAUGUGCUAUUCUUGCACUAAUAUCAGAUCACCUCUUCUAUUCUCCUUGGGCACACGUACUUAUAUUACACAUACACCCAUGUGCUUAUGCACCUGUGCAUGCACAAGCACGUGCACACAUGCACACACACAUAUAUAUACACACGCAGACUUAUAUGCACAUACCCCCACAUGGAUACAAACAUACAUACACUCAUUAGCAAAUACUCCUGUGUACACACACACACACACACACACACACACACACACACACACACAUACA